GUUGGUCGGUCGUUGGAUUUUGCUUUCUCUAAACUUUGGCUCCUAGACUGUUCCUGCGGACAGCCUUUGUAAUGGCUUUUUCAUGGGAAGCUAGAAUCAGGCGAAAGCAGAACAGGGCCACGUCUAGCGGAGACGCGAGCCCGUGAACCCAUAGACUGGCUUUCCACCCCAACCCCCUGCCCCUUACCUCAACCUCAGUUCUGUCCGCCGAGGAGGCUGAAGAGCCUCUGCUUCCAGCCACAGCUGUGAGGCAUUAAAUGAGAUGAUACAGGGGGUGCCGGGAAGACCAGAGCUGUAGAGCGUGAGUUACUUCCUUGCAGGGCUACGUGGCUGCCCGAGGCCCUAUGCUGUAUGCGGCUACCCAGAGUCUUCAGACAGCUCAUGAGCCGAAAGGCUGUCUGCCCAAUGACACCAGGAAUCCCUGUCCUCUGAAAUGAAGACCCCCUGCUCUCCGUGUGCCUUCCUCACCAGGGGCCAGCUGAAGCUCACUCCAGAUUCUACCCAAGCCGGCAGGUAUCCUCAUCAGAUGGUCAUUCUAGCAGAAAAGGUAUCCUGUGAGAAAUGGCUGUGUGCAGUUUCACACGGGAGCUAUAGAUGAUCACACCGUCCACACGAUCACACCAUCCGCACGUUCACACCAUCCACACGAUCACACCAUUCACACACCAUCUAUAGGAUCACACCAUCCACACGAUCACACCAUCCAUAUGAUUACACCAUCCACACGAUCACGCCAUCCACAUGAUCACACCAUCCACACACCAUCUAUAGGAUCACACCAUCCACAUGAUCACUCCAUCCAUAUGUUUACACCAUCCACAUGAUCACACCAUCCACACACCAUCUAUAGGAUCACACUAUCCACACGAUCACUCCAUCCAUAUGAUCACACCAUCCACACACCAUCUAUAGGAUCACACUAUCCACACGAUCACACCAUCCAUAUGAUUACACCAUCCACAUGAUCACGCCAUCCACAUGAUCACACCAUCCACACACCAUCCACACAAUCAUGCCAUCCACACAAUCAUGCCAUCCACAUAAGUCGUUCUGCUCUUAGUUGCUGUCUUGAUUUUCUGCUUAAAACACUGCACUGUCAUCUGCUAAAUAAAAGAACAAUUCCUGCUAAGAGUUGGGUGUCAGCAGUGGAAAGGGUGAAGCAACCAAUGUUCAUGAACAUGGGGAUCCAGAGGUAGGGCUGAAGUCCCGGGAAUGCAGGUACUUGGUUAAGGUAAGAUGAAUAUGGCCGUGCCUCUGUUUAUGUCCAUUCCCUCCGUUCCUAAUUAUGGGAGACUGAAUGUGACAUGGUCAUCAGAAGCCAGAAAAGACCAGGGAUGAUCCCCAGUUCCCAGUGCUCCAGCCUACACACGCACAGUCUCACCACAGUGCUCAUUAGAAAGCAUGCUUUGAUUUUGGGCCUCUUCUGGGGUCAGUGCUGUGCAGUCUAGCCUUGUCUCCCGGUGCUGUGCUGGCCAGUUAGCAAGGAGCUGCAGCACCCAGUCAGCCAUGAGGGAGAGCAUAUGUAGCUCUCGGACCCU
rnacentral:sRNA from 1 species